CCAAAGUUUAAGUCCUAGGGCUGGAAAUAUGGCCUAGUGGCAUAGUGCUUCCUAGCAUGCAUGAAGCUCUGGGUUCGAUUCCUCAGUACUAUACA